rnacentral:rRNA from 1 species
UACGUAGGGUGCGAGCGUUAAUCGGAAUUACUGGGCGUAAAGCGUGCGCAGGCGGUUUUGUAAGCCAGAUGUGAAAUCCCCGGGCUUAACCUGGGAAUGGCAUUUGGGACUGCAAAGCUUGAGUGCGGCAGAGGGGACUGGAAUUCCUGGUGUAGCAGUGAAAUGCGUAGAGAUCAGGAGGAAUACCGAUGGCGAAGGCAGGUCCCUGGGCUGACACUGACGCUCAUGCACGAAAGCGUGGGGAGCAAAAAGG